ACUGAAGAUAAAGAACCGAGGAAUGACCCAAUUGGGGUUCGAGUUGCAGAAAUUAUAACUACUUCGUUUAGUUGUGGUUUUGUGCUGUAGGAUCUGUUGGUCAAAGUCACCACCUAUGAGAGAAAUGGAGCACCUUAUUUGAGUUUUGCAUGAUAUGGGAACCAACCUGGGAUAAUUUGAAGGCAGACAUUUUGAGUUGUUGGAAUUAUAAAUGCACUCAGAUGAGGACUUUGCCCUUACUAUCAGCUGAUCGUCCCACCUCAACUAUUCAAAACUUGCCCAUUUAACGCAAACCUUAUAAAUUUUAGAAAAAUACCUAUGAAUUUUUAAACAAUCAAAAAAAUAAAACACAAAUUGUAAUUUUAGAAUUGUUUAUUGAAAAAUAAAUCUAGUACAUUUGAAUAAUCCGCCAUUUAUCGACAAAAACGACACAAUAACAAUACUAAAAUUUCCUACAUCGUAUUCUUUGAAAUGAGAAAUACCGUGUAAUAAAAUAUUUUCUUACGUUAAAUCACCUUUAUAAUUAAAACUAAAGUAAAUGUAGUUAUUGGAUUAUAAUAAUUUUAAUCGUAUCAUUUUUAAUCAAUAAAAAUUCGUCAUCUGGUGGGCAAAGCUGCCAGCGAUAAAGUUCCUAGCACUGAUGUGUCAAAAUUUAAAAAUGGAAGCAUUGGAAGAUAAUUUUCAAGAAUUGCACGAGAAAAUCGCUGGUCUUUUUGAAAAUUAUAAAGAGGAAUUAAAUAGUAAAGACCAUGCUAACAUGGGAUACUUUUUAUACAAUGUAAACAUCAACUCUGAUGUUUUGUUGUAUAAAAUAAAGUAUGAAAUUGACCAAUUUAUGAAAAUGCGUGAAGUUGUGUCUGAAACGUCUACUGAUAGUUCUGCAGUGAAUACAAAAAAGUCUGAAUGUUUGAUUAAAUUGCAAACGUUGACUUCAAUGCUGACGUGUCACAUAAUGGAUGAUUACAGAAAGAAAAUGGAAGGAAAAAAAACAUUCUAAAUAUUAGUUGUCGUGAAUAAAUUUGUAAUAAUUAUGUAAAUUAGAAAAUAAAAAAAUUGAAUAUUGCAAUGAAUGACU